rnacentral:rRNA from 1 species
GAUGAACGCUGGCGGCGUGCCUAAUACAUGCAAGUCGAGCGAACAGACUAGGAUUUUGCUCCUCUGACGUUAGCGGCGGACGGGUGAGUAACACGUGGAUAACCUACCUUUAAGACUGGGAUAACUUCGGGAAACCGUAGCUAAUACCGGAUAAUAUAUUGAACCGCAUUGUUCAAUAGUGAAAGACGGUUUUGCUGUCUCUUAUAGAUGGAUCCGCGCCGCAUUAGCUAGUUGGUAAGGUAACGGCUUACCAAGGUAACGAUGCGUAGCCGACCGGAGCGGUUGUUGGUCAACACUGGAACUGAGACACGAUCCAGACGGCUACGGGAGGCAGCAGUAGGGAUUCUUCCGCAAUAGGCGAAAGCAUGGCGGAGCAGCGCCGCGUGAAUGAUGCAGAUCUUCGGGUCGUAAAACUGUGUUAUUGGGGAAGAACAAAUGUGUAAGUAACUAUGCACGUCUUGACGGUACCUAAUCAAAAAGCCACGGCUAACUACGUG